rnacentral:tRNA from 1 species
GGGCGUGUAGCCAAGCGGUCUAAGGCGUGGGCCUGCAAAGCCUAUAUUCGCGGGUUCGAAUCCCGCCGCGCCCU